CCUACGGGUGGCAGCAGUGAGGAAUAUUGGUCAAUGGGCGGAAGCCUGAACCAGCCCAGUAGCGUGCAGGAUGACGGCCCUACGGGUUGUCAACUGCUUUUAUACGGGAAUAACGCGCCUUAAGUGUAGGGCUUUGCAUGUAACGUAUGAAUAAGGAACGGCUAAUUCCGUGCCAGCAGCCGCGGUAAUACGGCAGGUCCGGGCGUUAUCCGGAUUUAUUGGGUUUAAAGGGAGCGUAGGCCGCAUGUCAAGCGUGCUGUGAAAUGUCCGGGCUCAACCCUGGCCUUGCAGCGCGAACUGGCGUGCUUGAGUCCGCGGAAAGCAGGCGGAAUUCGUCGUGUAGCGGUGAAAUGCUUAGAUAUGACGAAGAACCCCGAGUGCGAAGGCAGCUUGCUGCAGCGGAACUGACGCUGAUGCUCGAAAGCGCGGGUAUCGAACAGGAUUAGAUACCCCGGUAGUC
rnacentral:rRNA from 1 species